CUUUACAGAAAUGUCAAAGCUCUUUUUUUCCGUCAGGCACGUGCUUCGCUUUUAAUCUUCAUCAACGGAACGGGGUAAUCAACGUCAAAUCGGGGCAGUCGGCGAAUCAAGCCGUGUAUGAGUCGAUGUAUGUUCGGUUCUGAAAAGUAUGUUUUAAGAUUUUGUUCGGUAUUCGACGCUCGCCAGAUCGAAUUAAUUAGGCUUUAUUUAUGGAGCUUGCAAGCUAACUUGUGAAAUGGCUAGUGAGAUUCUGUGGUAUAUCGCUAGCUAGAUAGAAAAAAAAAUUGGGAUCGAGUCAUGGCUCAACUAAUAAACUUGAUUAAUCAAGCUCACAAGCUGGCUAAAUUUAGGCUUGUGAAGUGAUUUGAUUAUCGAGUUUACUAGCGGAUUUGAAUUGGGCUCAUGUAGUAGUGGCUGAUUAUGAAGCUAGCAAGAUUCUAAUUUUCUUAGUGAAUCUAGAAAAAUCAAGGUAAUUAUCAUUUUGGUCACUUGCCUGUCAAUAUUGUACAUUCGGGUCACAAAUCGAGUCACUCUGACCCUAUCUCCUCCACUUUCUUUCCUUUAAGGGUUGACAACAUCCCAGUCACCCAUCCCAAUUAGCAAACUUAAUAUAAAAUAUAAAAUAUUUAUAUGUUAAUUAAAUAUUAUUUUUAUUUUUUACAUAAAUAGCUCGCAAUUCCUAAAUGAAAGAGAUAGUCUUAGUGCAUAAGUUAGAUGUCUUUGAUCCCUACACUAAAUUAUACGACACAAUAUAAACUAUAACAUGUUCAUUUCUAUAACUUGUAUUCGUAUUUAUCUAAUUCCUUUAUUUCGUAUUAAUUUGUGCCUACCGAAAUAAAAUAUCCAGCUCAUCUUCCAAUUUUCCUUUUUAUUAACGAGUUGGCCCCGGGUCUUCAAAACUUUACAGAAAUGUCAAAUACUCAUCACUCAUUUUUACCCACGUGUUUCAUUAAUCUUUAAUCACUAUUGUAACUACAUAGAUUUUCUUAUAGAAAAAAACAAAUCAAAUUAAAGAACUGAACAAACACAGAGACUUGGCCUCCCUCGCCGUCGCCGCCGCCAAUCACAGCGCGAUUCCGUUGUCGUCGUGAACUUUGGCGCCGGAGAUGACCGAGUCGGCCUUAUUAUUCAACCCCCAGAAAGGAAAACAAGCAGAAGCAGAGUUUCCGUCGUGUUUCUCAUCUUUCUUCUUCUGGGUUUUCUUCAUCUCCUCUUCACGGCGUUUGACCUUGUCCUUGUAAAUCUUCGCCAUCACGUAAGCUUCCGCAAGGCCGUUCCCUGACAUUCCCAUGCUCGCCAUGAACUCUUCUGAUUUCUGAAUACGGAGAAGCUUGAGAUGAAGGGUUUAAAUGAAAGGGCGCGAGUUUUGUGAGGAAGAAAGUCGGGAGGGUUUUGUGGUAUUUAUAGGCAAAAUAUGAGUACGCUCCUGUUCCC
rnacentral:lncRNA from 1 species